AUUGAACGCUGGCGGCAGGCCUAACACAUGCAAGUCGAACGGAGUGGCGGACGGGUGAGUAAUUCCUAGGAAUCUGCCUGGUAGUGGGGGAUACCGUCCGGAAACGGUCGCUAAUACCGCAUACUCUCAGAUGAGCCUAGGUCGGAUUAGCUAGUUGGUGGGGUAAAGGACUACCAAGGCGACUAUCCGUAACUGGUCUGAGAGGAUGAUCAGGCACACUGGAACGGAGACACGGGCCAGACUCCUACGGGAGGCAGCAGUGGGGAAGAUUGGACAAUGGGCGAAAGCAUGAUCCAGCCAUGCCGGGUGUGUGAAGAAGGUCUUCGGAUUGUAAAUCACUUUAAGUUGGGAGGCGUUACCAACAGAAUAAGCACCGGCUAACUUCGUGCCAGCAGCCGCGGUAAUAC
rnacentral:rRNA from 1 species